rnacentral:rRNA from 1 species
GGGAAGAACACCAAUGGCGAAGGCAGGUCUCUGGGCCGUCACUGACGCUGAGGAGCGAAAGCGUGGGGAGCGAACAGGAUUAGAUACCCUGGUAGUCCACGCCGUAAACGGUGGAUGCUGGAUGUGGGGACCAUUCCACGGUCUCCGUGUCGGAGCCAACGCGUUAAGCAUCCCGCCUGGGGAGUACGGCCGCAAGGCUAAAACUCAAAGAAAUUGACGGGGGCCCGCACAAGCGGCGGAGCAUGCGGAUUAAUUCGAUGCAACGCGAAGAACCUUACCUGGGCUUGACAUGUUCCCGACAGCCCCAGAGAUGGGGCCUCCCUUCGGGGCGGGUUCACAGGUGGUGCAUGGUCGUCGUCAGCUCGUGUCGUGAGAUGUUGGGUUAAGUCCCGCAACGAGCGCAACCCUCGCCCUGUGUUGCCAGCACGUCAUGGUGGGAACUCACGGGGGACCGCCGGGGUCAACUCGGAGGAAGGUGGGGAUGACGUCAGAUCAUCAUGCCCCUUACGUCCAGGGCUUCACGCAUGCUACAAUGGCCGGUACAACGGGAUGCGACCCCGUGAGGGGGAGCGGAUCCCUGAAAACCGGUCUCAGUUCGGAUUGGAGUCUGCAACCCGACUCCAUGAAGGCGGAGUCGCUAGUAAUCGCGGAUCAGCAACGCCGCGGUGAAUGCGUUCCCGGGCCUUGUACACACCGCCCGUCAAGUCAUGAAAGUGGGUAGCACCCGAAGCCGGUGGCCCAACCUUUUUGGGGGGAGCCGUCUAAGGUGAGACUCGUGAUUGGGACUAAGUCGUAC